ACGGGAGGCAGCAGUGGGGAAUAUUAGGCAAUGGGGGCAACCCUGACCUAGCAACGCCGCGUGAAGGAAGAAGGCCUUCGGGUUGUAAACUUCUUUUAUAGGGGACGAAACAAAUGACGGUACCCUAUGAAUAAGCCACGGCUAACUACGUGCCAGCAGCCGCGGUAAUACGUAGGGAGCAAGCGUUAUCCGGAUUUACUGGGUGUAAAGGGCGUGUAGGCGGGACAUCAAGUCAGAUGUGAAAGCACGAGGCUCAACUUCGUGUCUGCAUUUGAAACUGACGUUCUUGAGUGUUGGAGAGGCUAACGGAACUCCUAGUGUAGCGGUGAAAUGCGUAGAUAUUAGGAAGAACACCAGUGGCGAAGGCGGUUAGCUGGACAAUAACUGACGCUGAGGCGCGAAAGCGUGGGUAGCAAACAGGAUUAGAUACCCUGGUA
rnacentral:rRNA from 2 species